GAUGAACGCUGGCGGCGUGCCUAAUACAUGCAAGUCGAGCGAACGGACGAGAAGCUUGCUUCUCUGAUGUUAGCGGCGGACGGGUGAGUAACACGUGGAUAACCUACCUAUAAGACUGGGAUAACUUCGGGAAACCGGAGCUAAUACCGGAUAAUAUUUUGAACCGCAUGGUUCAAAAGUGAAAGACGGUCUUGCUGUCACUUAUAGAUGGAUCCGCGCUGCAUUAGCUAGUUGGUAAGGUAACGGCUUACCAAGGCAACGAUGCAUAGCCGACCUGAGAGGGUGAUCGGCCACACUGGAACUGAGACACGGUCCAGACUCCUACGGGAGGCAGCAGUAGGGAAUCUUCCGCAAUGGGCGAAAGCCUGACGGACCAACGCCGCGUGAGUGAUGAAGGUCUUCGGAUCGUAAAACUCUGUUAUUAGGGAAGAACAUAUGUGUAAGUAACUGUGCACAUCUUGACGGUACCUAAUCAGAAAGCCACGGCUAACUACGUGCCAGCAGCCGCGGUAAUACGUAGGUGGCAAGCGUUAUCCGGAAUUAUUGGGCGUAAAGCGCGCGUAGGCGGUUUUUUAAGUCUGAUGUGAAAGCCCACGGCUCAACCGUGGAGGGUCAUUGGAAACUGGAAAACUUGAGUGCAGAAGAGGAAAGUGGAAUUCCAUGUGUAGCGGUGAAAUGCGCAGAGAUAUGGAGGAACACCAGUGGCGAAGGCGACUUUCUGGUCUGUAACUGACGCUGAUGUGCGAAAGCGUGGGGAUCAAACAGGAUUAGAUACCCUGGUAGUCCACGCCGUAAACGAUGAGUGCUAAGUGUUAGGGGGUUUCCGCCCCUUAGUGCUGCAGCUAACGCAUUAAGCACUCCGCCUGGGGAGUACGACCGCAAGGUUGAAACUCAAAGGAAUUGACGGGGACCCGCACAAGCGGUGGAGCAUGUGGUUUAAUUCGAAGCAACGCGAAGAACCUUACCAAAUCUUGACAUCCUUUGACAACUCUAGAGAUAGAGCUUUCCCCUUCGGGGGACAAAGUGACAGGUGGUGCAUGGUUGUCGUCAGCUCGUGUCGUGAGAUGUUGGGUUAAGUCCCGCAACGAGCGCAACCCUUAAGCUUAGUUGCCAUCAUUAAGUUGGGCACUCUAAGUUGACUGCCGGUGACAAACCGGAGGAAGGUGGGGAUGACGUCAAAUCAUCAUGCCCCUUAUGAUUUGGGCUACACACGUGCUACAAUGGACAAUACAAAGGGCAGCGAAACCGCGAGGUCAAGCAAAUCCCAUAAAGUUGUUCUCAGUUCGGAUUGUAGUCUGCAACUCGACUACAUGAAGCUGGAAUCGCUAGUAAUCGUAGAUCAGCAUGCUACGGUGAAUACGUUCCCGGGUCU
rnacentral:rRNA from 1 species